rnacentral:rRNA from 1 species
UACGUAGGGGGCAAGCGUUGUCCGGAUUUAUUGGGCGUAAAGAGCGUGUAGGCGGCUAGAUAGGUCCGUUGUGAAAACGGGAGGCUCAACCUCCAGCUGUCGUUGGAAACCCUCUGGCUAGAGUCCGGAAGAGGAGAGUGGAAUUCCUGGUGUAGCGGUGAAAUGCGCAGAUAUCAGGAGGAACACCGGUGGCGAAGGCGGAUCUCUGGGCCGUAACUGACGCUGAGGAGCGAAAGCAUGGGUAGCGAACAGG